GACGAACCGUGCGAACGUUAUUCGGAAUCACUGGGCUUAAAGCGCGUGUAGGCGGGCCGGCACGUCGGUCGCUGAAAUCCCCCGGCUCAACCGGGGAAGGGGCGCCGAUACGACCGGCCUGGAGGGGGGUAGGGGGCGCGGAACUUCCGGUGGAGCGGUGAAAUGCGUUGAGAUCGGAAGGAACGCCCGUGGCGAAAGCGGGCGCCUGGACCCCGCCUGACGCUGAGACGCGAAAGCCAGGGGAGCGAACGGG
rnacentral:rRNA from 1 species